GUGUCAGCAGCCGCGGUAAUACGGAGGGGGCAAGCGUUGUUCGGAUUUACUGGGCGUAAAGGGUGUGUAGGCGGCCGCGCAAGUCUGGUGUGAAAUCUUCACCGCUUAACGGGAAGAGGUCACUGGAAACUGCGUGGCUCGAGUAUGGUAGAGGCAAGCGGAAUUCCUGGUGUAGCGGUGGAAUGUGUAGAUAUCAGGAAGAACACCGGUGGCGAAGGCGGCUUGCUGGGCCAUCACUGACGCUGAGACACGAAAGCGUGGGGAGCAAACGGGAUUAGAUACCCCGGUAGUCCACGCUGUAAACGGUGCGCACUAGGUGUGAGGGGUAUCGACCCCCCUUGUGCCGAAGCAAACGCAUUAAGUGCGCCGCCUGGGGAGUACGGCCGCAAGGUUGAA
rnacentral:rRNA from 1 species